UACGUAGGGGGCAAGCGUUGUUCGGAAUCAUUGGGCGUAAAGGGCGCGUAGGCGGCUUUGUAAGUCCGUUGUGAAAUCCCUCGGCUCAACCGAGGAACUGCGACGGAUACUGCUUGGCUUGAGUCCCGGAGAGGGUAGCGGAAUUCCCAGUGUAGCGGUGAAAUGCGUAGAUAUUGGGAGGAACAUCGGUGGCGAAGGCGGCUACCUGGACGGGUACUGACGCUGAUGCGCGAAAGCUAGGGGAGCAAACAGG
rnacentral:rRNA from 1 species